UUUCCACUAAAGGAGCUUGUUGUAGGUUGCACAAUGUAACUGUUGUUUUCCCUCCUGUUUUUAAAAGAAUUGUUUAUUUUCCAGGAAGAGAAAAGUAUGUUUGUACAUGUUACACCCCAUACUAAUUUAUACAGAGAGCCAUGGUAGACAGGGUAAGGGUGUUGAUGUUUAAGGCUAAGGGCUGUAGUAGCGCAGGUCCAGCUGUAGAGCUAUUAACACCUGUGGAGCUUUUGAAACAACCAGGCCAGACACCUUGAGCCUUGAGUUUAGGAUGGGUUGAUAAAACUGAACGUUGAAGUUCAAUUUGUUUUUAUUUUUACCUGCAGCAUAGUCUUAAUUUUUGUUGUGGUAAAAGAUGUAACUCUUCCCGGUCUUUUGUUGAUGAAAACUUUUCCAAAUGUGUUUUAGGCUUUUCUAACUGUUGUCAGUCAAAACUGAAUAUGAAGUGGAGAACUUACUGGUACAUAUCUGGCAGAAGGGGCAGUCGGUGCUGAGGUUCAAGUGGGACCAGAAACUGUAAAGUAGUGCAAACCAGAGAAAUGGUUUUUUGUUUUGUUUUGUUUUGCUGCUGCUGCUGCUGUUUUUUUCUCUUUCUGCCUCCCUCUUCCAUUUUGGUUUGUGGAUUACCUUCAUCAAAUGUUUGUAAAUCAGCUGUGUGUUUCUCCUUGAACUUGAUAGAAGACACAUGACUCCCCUACAGUUCACAUUAGGUGACCUACCUAAUUGAGAAGUUUUCAGAGGAGAUGCUAGAAAGGUUAUCUACUCCUUGCCUUUGUUGCUCAGUGCAGGCCUAUGUUACUUGCAUUUUUUAAAAUAUGAGCUGUACCCUGCUCCCCCAAUACAAAUGGUGGUGGUGAUGAUGAUAUAUGUCCAUUAUAAUACAGUGCUUAUUACAUGCCUGGUUUGGUUUGAGCACAUCAUACAUACAUUCUUAAAAUUCUAUGAAGAAAUUGAGGCACUGAGAUAUUAUGGAUUGAGCAGAAUUUAACUUCCCAACUCACCAAUAUAUUUAAUCCCCAAAGUCUUAACGCUUAUGUUUAAUGGGUUAAUGUUAAUGGUUGAACUUGAUGUGUAGAAUGUGGACCCAGUAGGGGGUCUUUAGGUCAAAUUGGGGACAAAGCCCCCAAAAGGCAGUUCUCUUGAAGGUUGAUUUUUUUUUUUUUUUUUUUUUUGACAGGCAGAGUUAGGCAGUGAGAGACAGAGAGAAAGGUCUUCCUUCCGUUGGUCCCCCCCCAAAAUGGCUGCUAUGGCCUGCGCACUGCACCACUCCAAAGCAAGGAGCCAGAUGCCCCCUCUUGGUCUCCCAUGCGGGUGCAGGGCCCAAGCACUUGGGCCAUCCUCCACUGCCUUCCCGGGUCACAACAGAGAGCUGGACUGGAAGAGGAGCAACCAGGACUAGAACCCAGAGUACCGUCGCUGCAGGCGGAGGAUUAGCCUAGUCAGCUGCGGCGCCGGCCUGAAGGUUGAUUUCUAUAAGCCAAGUUCUGCCUAGCCUUUUCUCUGCUUCCUGACUACCCUGGGAACCUCCCUCUGCAUGUGUUCUUUGUUGCCAUCCUCCAAUCUCACCAGAUGCCUAAACUAACACCGCUGCCUGAUCUUGAACUGGGAACCUCCAAAACUGUAGAGUUACAGACAGUGAGAGAGACAGAGAGAAGGGUCUUCCUUCUGUUGGUUCACUCUCCAAAUGGCUGCAAUGGCUGGAGCUACACUGAUUCGAAGCCAGGAGCCACUUGCUUCCUCCUGGUCUCCAAUGCAGGUGCAGGGGCCCAAGGACUUGGGCCAUCCUCCUCUGCCUUCCCGGGCCACAGCAGAGAGCUGGACUGGAAGAGGAGCAGCGGGGACUAGAACCCGGUGCCUGUAUGGGAUGCCGGCGCAGCAGGCGGAGGAUUAACCUAGCGUGCCACAGCGCCGGCCCCAGCUUGAACCAGUCUUAAGCCUGGAGCCAGGAGCUUCUUCAGGGUCUCCCACAUGGGUGCAGGGGCCCAAGGAGUUGGGCCAUCCUCCACUGCUUUCCCAGGUGCAUUAGCAGAGAGCUGGAUCAGAAGUGGAGCAGCCAGGACUCAAACUGGCACCCAUGUGCAGGCUGAAGCUUUAACCCACUGAGCCAGCCCCCAGCUUUAUUGAGGUAUAAUUGAUAUUUAUAUAUAUUCAAGAUAACAGUGUGAUGUUUUGAUAUAUGCAUACAUUGCAAAUUGCUGACUACAAUCAAACUAAUUAAUAUAUCCAUCACUGCACAUAGUUACCUGUUUUUGUGGUGAGAAUAUUUAGGAUAAGGUACAUUCUCCAUAUCCAUGGGUUCUGCAUGGAUUAAAAAUAUUUGGGAAAACUGUUGUGUCUGUAUUGAACAUUUACAACUUUUUCCCUUGUCAUUAUUCUCCAGCCAGUGUUAUAAACAAUCCAGAGAUGAUUUAAAGUACACAGGAGACUGUGCCUAGUUUAUAUGCAAGUAUUAAGCCAUUUUAUAUAAAGCACUUUGAGCAUCCAUGGAUUUUAGUAACUCAGAGGGUCCUGGAACCAGUACCCCAAGGAUGCCAAGGGACAUCUAUAUACAUCAUUAACCAUAGUCACCAUGCUAUGGUCUCCAGAAUCUAUUUACCUCAGAAAUUCCUUUUUGAAAGCCACACUUAGGGUGACUUUGUGCUGUAAAAUUUGUCAUUUCUGUAAGAAAGAGUCCCUUAAAAUGAAGAAUAUCUGAAAAUGUAAGCAGUGAAACAAAGUAAUGAAGUUUGAGCUAAUCUGGUCUUUUUAGAAGGAAUCACAGGUAUCUUGUGUCCAUGUGAGUGCUGUUGUUGAUAUCCAACACUCCCUUGAAGUGUUAAGGGAAUUUGUGUGAAAUGCAUCACAUUUCUUUUCUAGCAGAGCACUUCCAAAUUGAGAUAUAUUAGUGUAGAGUACACACUGGACAUUGAAGACUUAGUAUGAAAAAAAAACUUAUUGACACUUUUAAAAAUUGUAUUUUUAAAUCACAAAAACUGAUUGCCUGUUGAAAUAAAAAUAUUUUUGGUGUAUUAGGUUAAAUAACUAUUACUUUUUUUAAAAGAUUUAUUUAUUUAUUUGAAAGAGUUAGAGGCAGAGAGAGAGAUCUUCCAUUCACUGGUUCACUCCCCUAAAUGGCUGCAAUGACUGGAGCUGGGCUGCUCCAAAUCCAGGAGCCAGAAUCUUCUUCCUGAUCUUCCACAUGGGUGCAGGGACCCAAGCAAUGGGCCAUCUUCUUCUACUGCUUUCCCAGGCCAUAGCAGAAAGCUGGAUCGGAAGUGGAGCAACUGAGUCUCGAACUGGCGCCUACAUGGGAUGCCAGCACUUUACUCACUAUGCCACAGCGCCAGCCCCUAAAUAACUAUUAUUAAAGCUGCCUUAAAUUUAUUACUGCAAAAUGGCUACAAGACAGUUGAGAAUUAUGUAAAUGGGUUUUGUUAUAUUUCUCUUGGACACCACUGUAAGUAUAUAAAAUGGCUGCUAAGAUUUUAACAAUGUUUUCUGACUGGUACAAUAUGAAACAUGGAGACAGAGUACGUAAACUACAAUUAUGAUACAGAAGGAACAGAAUAGAUUAUUUUGGUGUUUCUGAAUUUGUCCUCAUUUUUAAAAACUUCCAAGUAUUGUUCCCAUCAAUUACCUAAAAGCAAUGCAGGUUUUUUUUUUUUUUUUUUAAGGAGAGCGAGCUCUUCCCACCCACUGGUUCACUCCCCAAAUGGCUGCAAUGGCCAGAGCUGGGCUGAUCCAAAGUCAGGAGCCAGGAGCUUCUUCUGGGUUUCCCAUGUGGGUGCUGGGGCCCAUGCACUUGGGCCAACUUCCACUUCUUUCCCAGACCAUUAACAGGGAGCUGGAUCCAAAGUGUAGUAGUGCUCAUGCCACAGGCAGAGGCUUAACCUAGUGCCACAACUGGCCCCCGUACAGGAUUUUAAACAACUGCUUCUGAGCCAUCAUUGAAACUUAAGUGCAGACAGAGCAGUUCUGCGUCAGGGCCAGCUGUAGGUGCUGCCCUGAUGGGAAGAGCAGGUUGGAAAGGGUGCAGCACUGCGGAGGAGGGGUAGGGGACCCCAAGCCCUAGUAUCGGAGAGGUCUCCUGAGAGGGCCUAGCUUAGCUGUGGAGUUUCCCCCUGUUUCUUGCUAGAUGGUGCACAUGUACUGUGUAAGGUAAAUCUGACACAAGUGUGGUUGGUUUACUUGUGAAUUUAGACUUGACUGGAAAUGAUUGGAUUCAUGAGGCAGCAGGGGCUUUUGGUGAAUAAACAGAAGUUGAAGAGAAGCUGGAGCUGCUUAGGAGCUUGGUUUUAUACUGAAGAAAGCUCACUAGAGUGGUGUGCAGGGAUUCUUGCCUUUUGUAAGAUUUAUGGCUACUCAUUUCCUUGUUCUUCAGAGGUCUUUUUCUCAUUUGAAUAUACCCAGCUGAGAAUGCAGCUGUUUGAGAAGUUUUCUGAAAAAGGUGUAUGCAGUAUUUAGCUUUAAUAUUUUAGAAUACCUUUGUUUUCUGUUCUGUCAUGUUUGUGUUGGGUGAAAAGCUCACUGAAUUUUGGCUCACAAUUCUUUUCUGAUUUUGUAGAAUUAUUUGGCAACAGAAGUUACACAUACAAUGUAAAAAUCUAAUUUUUUAGAUGUUUAGCAAAAACUUGGGAAAUUUUUGGUAAAUUGGUGAUAAUUUU